GCGCCGAUAGCUCAAUUGGAUAGAGCAUCUGACUACGGAUCAGAAGGUUCGGGGUUCGAGUCCCUGUCGGCGCGCCA
rnacentral:tRNA from 3 species